rnacentral:ncRNA from 1 species
CAUGUAUCAAGGGUGCACUCUGCAUGAACAUUGAAAGAGAAUCAGGUUAAUAUUCUCGAACCGGGACAUGGUGGCGGAAGACAAUGUUAGGAAAUCCAGAGACGUCGUCAAGGGCCCCAGGAAGAGUUAUCUUUUCUUUUUAACAGCUUGCCCACCCUGAAAUCGGCUCAACCAAAGAUAGGGUCCAGCAGCUGGAAGAGCAUUGCAUGUCUUGCAGUUUCUGGUGCACCAUCGGUGGCCCUUGAAAAUCUAGAGGACCGAGUACCGUCCAUGCCCGGUCGUACUCAUAACCGCAUCAGGUUUCCAAGGUGAACAACCUCUAGUCAAUAGAACAAUGUAGGUAAGGGAAGUUAGCAAAACGGAUCCGUAACUUCUGGAAAAGGAUUGGCUAUGAGGGCUGGGCCUAUGGGUCUGCAUCCUCAACCCAUGGGUUGUCGUCAUUGUGCCCGAGCUGCUAUCGCGGAGAGGGCGGGCAGUCGCGUGUCGAUUGGGCUACAGAUGUAGAAUGUCCUCUUGCGGGGGAUUUUCUCUAGACGGUGAUUAGUCGACUCAUAAUUGGUACAGACAAGGGG